AUGGCUGCCGAGGACAAGAGCCUGGACGCGUGGCCUCUGGGGCUGGGGCUCAAGAGCCCCCCAUAUGUGAGUUGGGGGCGGGGGGCAGGUGGCCAGGCUCUUGCCCCAGCCCUGGAGCUGGGAGCUCUGCUCCUGCCCGGGUCCAGGGACCCACCUAGUGCCUGUCACAGCUGGAGGGGGCAAUGCCAGCAGGGCAGCUGGAGCCCCCUGGGCCAGCGCCUACCUUGGCUUCACUCCCUGCCUCAGUUUCCCCAUCCAGCAUCCCCUGCCUGCCCCUCACUGGCUCCCCCUCUCCCCCAGACCUUGCCCUUGGGCCUGGAGACGCCUGUACCCUCCAGCCGCAAGCUGGCGAUUCUGACUGUGGGAGCUGUCUCGGCCCUGGCCAUCAGCCUUGUGGGUGUCCUUGUGGGCACCUACCUGGGCAGAGCUGCCUGCAGCCAGGGAGUCGCUGCUGGCUCCCUGCCGGCCCAGGUACACGUGCAGAAUGAGGCGGCGCUGCUGCUGGCGCUGAGCGAGCUGGGCGAGCAGGGCACCGUGCCCGGCAUCACCUGCGACCUGAGGAACCACUUGAUGCUGUACCACGGGCAGCCUGAGGGCUGCGUGGGCCAGAAGAUGGACCCUGUGGAGCAGCUGCCACCCUGCAGGGAGCUGGAGAGCUACUUCCAGGCUGUGCUGAGCAACGUCACACUGGGACUAGGACUGGAGCUGGGCAUGGAUGUGCAGAGUGUGGGCGCAGGGGCCCUGGGCAGCCUGGCCAUGCUGCUCUGCAGCAACAAGCCCACGUACCUGGUGGCGGCUGGCCCACUGUCUCCCCAGUACCAUGGGCACCCGGCGGACUAGCACGUGCAGGGGGGGACCAGGCCGCAGCUGCCUGGAGUUGUUGGAUCCAUUCCAGCCACAUCCACGACUACUGACCCCCGCGCAUCUUUGCAAGGGCCUGGCCCCAACUGCAGGGUCUGAGGCCACACAAGGUUUUGCAUUGCUUCUCUGCAGAGUGUAAUCCUAGCAAUAAACAUAGAGCUGCA
rnacentral:lncRNA from 1 species